rnacentral:lncRNA from 1 species
GGAGCUGUAAGCUUCACGUGUUUUAACUUUGUCAAAGCACUUUGAAAAAGUGGUCUGUGGUAUCUGGAAAGCUGAUGUUGCGUGUGAAGAUUGCAGACAAGCUUUAUCCAAGGAAAUCUGGCUCUCGAAGUUCGAAAAGCGGUGCCUCUUCAGUUUUCGAACAAGCAAUCUUAUUGGGGAUCUGGCUCUCAAGAUUUAG